rnacentral:rRNA from 1 species
CUCGAGAAUCGACCUCAGAUUAGACGUGAUUACCCGCCGAAUUUAAGCAUAUAAUUAGGCGGAGGAAAAGAAAUUAACUAAGAUUUCCUUAGUAACGGCGAGUGAAA